ensembl:lncRNA
UGUGUGUGUGUGUGUGUGUGUGUGCAUACAUACACACACACAUGAGCAUGGGCACGUGUGACAGAGACCAUAAGAGAGUUCAGAUCCCCUGGAGCUGGAGUUACAAGUUAUUAUAAUCUGCCAGAUGUGGAUUCUGGGAACCAAGCUCAGGUCCUCCACAAGAACAGCCAGUGCUCUUAACCCCUGGGCCAGCUCUCCAAUCUCCCUGUGAAUUUUUACAGGAUUGUGCUAGACCUGGGACAGUCUGGAGGCAGGUGGCUGUGUCAACGACUAAUCCUCACUCCUUCCGGCACUGAACUAGUGGUCCCCAGCAGGUGUGUGAUAAUAGACUGUUGUCUGUAUAAAGCAGUGAGUGAGUGAGUGAGUGAGUGAAUGAGUGAGUGAGUGAAUAAGUGAAUGAGUGAGUGAGUGAGUGAAUGAGUGAAUGAAUGAGUGAGUGAGUGAAUGAGUGAGUGAGUGGGUGAGUGAAUGAAUGAGUGAAUGAGUGAAUGAGUGAGUGAGUGAAUGAGUGAAUGAAUGAGUGAGUGAGUAAGUGAAUGAAUGAGUGAAUGAUUGAGUGAGUGAGUGAAUGAUUGAAUGAAUGAAUGAGUGAAUGAUUGAGUGAGUGAGUGAAUGAUUGAAUGAAUGAAUGAGUGAGUGAGUGAGUGAAUGAGUGAGUGAGUGAAUGAGUGAGUGAGUGAGUGAAUGAGUGAGGGAGGAAAUGAAUGAAUGAAUGAGUGAGUGAGUGAGGGAAUGAAUGAGUGAGUGAGUGAAUGAGUGAGUGAGGGAAUGAAUGAAUGAGUGAGUGAGUGAGUGAGGGAAUGAGUGAGAGAAUGAGUGAGUGAGUGGUGAGUGAAUGAAUGAGGGAGGGAGGGAGGGAAUUAAUGAAUGAAUGAGUGAGUGAGUGAGUGAGUGAAUGAAUGAGUGAGUGAGUGAGCAAGUGAGUGAGUGAGUGAGUGAGUGGUGAGUGAAUGGGUGAGUGAAUAAGUGAAUGAGUGAGUGAGGGAGGGAAUGAAUGAGUGAGUGAAUGAGUGAGUGAGGGAAUGAAUGAAUGAGUGAGUGAGCGAGUGAGUGAACCAGUGGCCCAUGUCUCCCCUGAGACAGUGGAGGGAUAUGUCGAGUACAUGCGUAUUGGAUGCUGCUCCAAACACCUGACUUGCCAGGAGCAGCCAGCUGAGUGGAGGGCAUGAUUCACUGCGAAGGGGACAAGGAGAGCGAAAGUCAUGUCUUGUGGGGUGGAGGGAUCACAUGCAGCAUCCAGACCUAGUGGAGACCUGUCUUUUGUUUCUUUUUUCUUUCCUUUUUAACCAGACAGGGGAUCAAACUCAUAGCAAACACUCUGCCUCUGAGCUAUAUCCCCAGCCCUGGCUUUGGGGAGCUGCCACAGGACGACAAGGCCCUAACCACUUGGAAGUCUUGCACUAUCCCCUUGAGAUGUGGGUUCUGAAAGGGCCUCUGAUGGGCUUCAAAUGGUCCAGAGACCCUUCCUUGCCCAAAAAUCGUCAGGUGCCUGUCCUAACAGUCCUGUGAGGACCUUACCUAAUGACAGGCUGAAGAGUGGACCUCAGAGCCAAACAUGGGUUCUGAUUUUGCAAGAAAAGGAGAAAAAUGCUGGGCAGAUCAAAAUAACUUGUGUCCUCUACCCACUGGAAAGUUCCACAGUGACAAAAGAUGAGUGUCUGAAUCAAGAUCAGGGGUUUCACAAAGCCAGGAAGUGGCAGAGACUGAUGCCCUCCAAUUUCUCCUUCAAAACCUUCUUUAAUACAGAACGCUAUUCUGAGGCUGGAAGUUUCCUCAAAACCCAGGCAAGGUCAAGACUCACUAUGACUGAAGCCUUGAGCACACAAAGUGAGGAGGGAAGAAUGAGAAGAGCCUGACAAGCAUGAAGUUCUGGGUUCAAAUCCCACCACCACAGAGAGAGGAGGAACCAGAGAGGGACUCUAGGAGGAGGGUGAGUAUAGAGGAGGUGGGAGGAAACAGGAUGUGGGGUGGGCAACCCUGGGGCCCUCUUGCCUGCAGCUCCUAAAAGAACAGCCUCUUCCGUAGGGCCCUGGGCCCUCUGGUUUGUUCUCCACCCCCGGCCUCCACAGUCCAAACCAGGCUGAAUCACUGCCCCUGAAGCCUUCCAGGUGUCCCUUUGUAUAAAGAUCCAAAUUCCUAAGAACACCAGGUGAAGCCCUUCACAUGGCCCCAACUUUUCUUUCCAGGCUUAGAGACUUAGAUUCCAAUUCUGGUCUACCACAGCUUUGGUUGUCAGAUCCUUUGGCCUGUCUGGACCUGGCUCCUCAUCUGUGGAAGAGACAGGGAUGCUGACUCUGUAAAGGGGUCUUCUGAUGACGAACCAUGCAUACGUUAUAAUAAUAGUACAAUGACAUCGUAACAGUGCUUAGAAAUACAAUUUUCCUGGGCUGGUGAGAGGGCAUCAGCUGAUAAAGGCACUUGCAAUCAAGCCUGACUAUCGGGGUUCAGUACCCUGCACCGAUCGGCUAGAAGAGGAAAACCAGCACCUAAAAGAUGUCAUCUGGCCUCCCACGUGAGCACUCCCACACACACCUACAGAUACACAAAUAAAUAAAUGCAACUUUAAAAUUUUAAUAUAAUCAUUUCUACUAGAAUGUAAAUAUAAAAACUAAAAUCUUGAAGCAACUUGAAGCCCCCCAAUCAGGAAGCAAGGGUGGUAGCCACAACCUCUCUGGGGCAGAAUUUUAAAGCCUAAGGAUAUGGUAUAUCUACUCUGUCACACAAAGCCUUAUGUGGCCCUGGCGAGACCAUGCAGUGAAAUAAACACAUGUGAUGACCAGGAGGGUACAGCUCAGGACGCUGAGCUCUGCUACCCUACAGCUGUGUGACAUACAGCAAGUUACAAUUAGGGAUCACCUACUGUCCCUGAGAGUAUGUGACUACUGCAAGCCCUUUCCUCUUAGUCCCUAGGACAGCAGGCCGUAUGGGAAGAGAGAUUGGACAAGAGGUGCUGGCCAAAGCAAAAAGGGGAAACUGAGGCCUCCUGUAGCAAGCAUGCUAGGUGUUCCAUGAAUUUCUAUAUCCACCCCAGCCAGGCAAGAAGCAUGGACGCCAGCUCCACGUUCUUGGCAUUUGCCCUGCUCUGUAGACAGCUGAGAAAGGCGCUCAGAGAAGGAAGAGUCUGAGGAAGGUUCCGGAACACGUGGCCAGCUGCUUCUCCCAUCAGCAGCUCUUAAACAAACAGCGUGCUUCCUCCGUUUGCAAGUCCUGGGGACCGCACAUGAGGAAUUUUUUUUCUCUCCUCCUUUUUUUGCUGAUUAAGUUCCCCCAAAACCCCCUUAAGAAUUUUAAUAAGAAAUGCAAAAAUCAACAAAAGUGCAGCAAAGCCUUUCCUGUUAUUAAAUAAGGGAAAGCAAAUAUUGCAGAUCGGACAUAUUUCAUAAGAGGAUGUUAUGUUUGGGUGGGAAAAAAUGACAGAGAAAAGAAAGGGCUAAUUUGCUUUCUGGCAGCAAAUGUCUUUGCUGAAAUUUGGUUUCAAAUCUGAUGACUGGGGCAUUAUCACCGGCUUGCCUGGAAUUUAGGCCUUUGACAUAUGAGAUGUAUGUGCUCCAAUAAGCAGGAAAACUGGGGUUUGGACCUCUAUACUGUAGCAGAGAAGAGAAUUCUGUAGCCACCCAGGAAAUUAUGAUCCUUCAGGGACUACAUGUAAGGCAAAAGCAACCUGGAACAAAGAACACUUGGGUUUUGAGAGAGAGAAAACAAGGUAAACGCUCUCUAUAAUACCUUUUUAGACAGAGGAGUGAACUAAACUGCUGACGUUCUGGUCUCAGCACAGGGAGAGGGCCUGCUGCUGCUGGACAAGGCUUUGACCACUGCCUCAGCUUCUUCUCUGUGUCACCUAAGGUAAAGUGCAUAGCUGUUGUGACUCUCACUUUCCUCAUCUUUAAGAUGGAGAGGAAUCCAUGGAAAGAUAGCUUAAUGGGUAAGAGCUCUUAGUCGGUCAGAGCACUGACUGUUCUUGCAGAAGACCCUGGUUCAGUUCCCAGCACCCAUAUAGCAAGCAGCUCACAACUGCCUGUAACUCCAGUGCCAGGGGAAUCCAACAUUCUCUUCUGGCUUCACAGACAUGGCACUCCUGUGAUGUACAUAAACACACACAGGCAAGCGCACACACAUAUAAAACAAAUAAAACCUAAGAAGAAUAAAAAUGAAUGAAUGAAUGAAUGAAUGAAUGAAUGAAUGAAUGGAGAGAGUGAACAGCGCUUACUGAGAGUGGUGAGGUGAGCACAUGUUGCUGCUCUUGUUGCUAUGGAGAAACUCCUGACAGAAGCAACUUAAGGGAGAAAGAAUUUAUCUGGCUCACAGUUUCAGGGAACACCACCCAUCAGGCUUUGUGAUCGGUUCCGUGCUGGGUGCUUGCAGCUUCUCCCACCAUGGUAGACCAGGAGGCAAAGGCUCAGGCAGGAGCCCCAUGACCCACUUUCGCUAGCUAUGCCACUCCGUAAGAUUCCAUGACCUCCCAAAACAGCCACUAGGCAGAGACCAAGUAAACAAACACAUGAUCUAGCAGGGAACAUUACACGUGCAAAGUCUAAGAGUGAGGAAUAAAAGAGCAGAAAAAUGGGCUUCUGGAAGCAACACACUCAGCUCACCAUGACAAGUGGAAAGGGAAAAAAAUGUAAGAGAAAAAGGUCACACAGCCGUGCACCAAAGACUGGAAUGUGCUCUGAGGAAUGAGUAAGAGGUGACAACUGUGCUACACACGCCUCAGCCAUCUGUCCUGCACACUUAGGCUAAGUGGUAGAGCCUGUCACAUGUUAAGGUUGUAAACUCUAGCCUGCCACACACCAAGGUUCUAUGGUAUAUCUUGCCACAUGGUGGGACUGCAUGGUCUAGCCUGCUACACACCAACGUACAACCCUGUUGCUCCAUUGUGCAGCAUAUAGGUCAUUUGAUUGCUUCUUUCUCUGUCAUGAUCAAUAGAACACUGACACUAUGAUUUUGCAUGCUGGUCAGCAAAAGUGAAAACUGGGUUUACUUUCUGGCUGGAGCACCUGACACAGAAAGUGGGUGCCACCCUUCGAGGACACCUGUUAUGAAAUAGUCUGUGGGACCAGGGCUUCAGAGAAAAUGACCAAAGCAAAGGACAGUGAGGAAGUGGCCUCAGGGUGUGGGCGCUGCCAGUCAGCAGCGUCCAAGAUAAAAUUACAUGGUCCUGGCCUCCAUCCUCUGUGUUCCCCCCAGAGGUCCAAUGGUCUCACUAGCCACAUCCAUCUCCCCCAAAGGAGUGACAGAAGCAGGGGGUGGAUACCUGGGCCCUGGAAAUGCCGUGAAUGGGACCUCACCAGCUACAAAUCUCAGGCCCGUGUUUGUAGUCCCAGGACUGGGGCCCCGGCUAUCUUCAGGCCGCCACCUUCAGACCCCAGACAAGAAAGCCAGGCUUAGGUGUCAUCUCAUUUGAGUUUACUUCCCUGAAGCAUCGUUAGUAUUUACAUAAAUAGUAGAAGAAAUAAUGUGGCAAUCGCUUGUACACCUACCACCCAGAUUUAUCUCCAUGGUGUUUUUGUUUGUUUAUUUUAUUUCAAGGACAAAGUAUUAGAAACAAAGUUAAAGUUCCCUUAUCCACUGCCAAGUACCGCAGAAGACUGGGCAUUUGGUAUAUGAACAUAUCUUUUUGUACAUCCAGUGUGUAAUGUUGUGUGUUUUAGUUUUCAAAAGUAGGAUGUAUAUUAUCUUGCAUCUUGCUUUUAUCAGGUGUUUGAAAUUUGUCUGUUGAUACACUUCUGUGGGUACAUAUUAAUAAUAAUUUGUUCUUUUUUACUGCUGCUAUACAGUGUGUGUGCCCUUCCUUCUAAGGAGGAAUAGUUAGGUUUUCUCUAUUAAAAAAAAAACAACAACAACAACCACAAGUCAACUACAACCCACUCAUCUUGAUUUACAAGAGGAAGAUGUUGGAAAGAUACAUCAGGGUGUGAGAAUUCUUUCUAUUCUUCCCGAGAGCCUAAGUUGCAUUCACAGCACCCAUACCCAGUGGCUCAACUGCCUGUCACUCCAGCUCCAGUAGUUCCAACGACCUGUUCUGGCUUCCCCAUGCAGCUUGACUGAAGGCUAGGCUGGAUACCAUGCAAGGAAACCUGACCAGCAAACCAGAACCCUGAGGGCUCCAGGCUCACCACUUACUACGUGACUCCACAUCCUAACAGAUUCUCCCUCAAAGCUGUGAAGGUGCGCGGGCUCGCCGGCGGAAGUGGUUGAAAUUUGCUGAAAUACCGCCAUCUGGUGGUCGCGAGGCAACACUGCAGGUCCAGGACUCUCAGGAAAACAAUGGGGCGACAAGGGGUGCCCAGCCCUGCUCAGAAAUGCGACCGGCUCCCCAUUGUCUGCGGGGUAAAGUCCGAAAGCCAAGCCUGGAAUUCAAGCACCUCCACAAUCGGCCCCGCCUCACCUAUCCGGCCUUAUCUCGGCUCCGACCUCCUGCCCUGGCCAGGCCCAGCUCCUCCCUGAACCUCCAAGCUGGGUCCAGCCUCUCACUAGGGCCAGUCUCGUGCUCCAUACUGACAUCAGCCCAGCUUCUAGGUCAGCUCUUCCAGGAAGCCUGCCUGGUCCAUCGCCGCAUCAAGGUUCUCUCCUUCCCUCCCACCAACUCUUAACAGAGUCGGUUUCAAUACUGAUGCUGCGUGUUGGAUGCUGGAGUCAAACUCUGGAAUGCUGUGUGUUGGAUGCUGGAGCCAAACCCAGCCCAUGGAGUGAUUGAGGCUGGGAGCCGAUCUAGACUGCUCUGCUCCCAGCCACCAGCAACAAAGACAGAGGUGGUGGCAUCCAAUUCGCAGGCCUGCUAUGACAAUCACAUAAUGGCCACAGUAGAAGUGACCAGGAUGGCUAGAUAAAACACAGGACACCCAAUUGAUCUGGAACCUCAGAUUAGAAUACUGUUGAAUCUAGACACCGUGAUGCAUGCCUAUAUUCCCAGCAUUUAGGAGGUGGAGGCAGAAAGAUCAAGGUUGUCCUCGGCUACCUGCAGCUUGAAGCCAGCAAUACCAGACUGUUUCAAGCCCCCACCCCUAAGAAAAGGAGGGGGAAACAACUUCCCUUUUUUGUUUAUUUGUUUUGUUUUAGUAUAUUUCAAAAAUUACAAAGUGAUUGCGUUCAUGGCUCACAUUAAGACUUGGUGUCGAUAGGCAGUGGUGGAACACGCCUUUAAUCCCAGCAUUCAGGAGGCAGAAGCAGGCGGACCUCAGAGUAGCUCCAGGACACUAAAGGCUACACAGAGA